UGGGGAAUUUUGCACAAUGGGCGCAAGCCUGAUGCAGCGACGCCGCGUGAGGGAUGAAGGCCUUCGGGUUGUAAACCUUUUUCGCUCAUGGUCAAGCCGCAGCUUUGGGUUGUGGUGAGGGUAGUGGGUAAAGAAGCGCCGGCUAACUACGUGCCAGCAGCCGCGGUAAUACGUAGGGCGCGAGCGUUGUCCGGAAUUAUUGGGCGUAAAGGGCUUGUAGGCGGUUGGCCGCGUCUGCCGUGAAAUCCUCUGGCUUAACUGGGGCGUGCGGUGGGUACGGGUUGACUUGAGUGCGGUAGGGGAGACUGGAAUUCCUGGUGUAGCGGUGGAAUGCGCAGAUAUCAGGAGGAACACCGGUGGCGAAGGCGGGUCUCUGGGCCGUUACUGACGCUGAGGAGCGAAAGCGUGGGGAGCGAACAGG
rnacentral:rRNA from 1 species